ACUCAAAGGAAUUGACGGGGACCCGCACAAGCGGUGGAGCAUGUGGUUUAAUUCGAAGCAACGCGAAGAACCUUACCAAGUCUUGACAUCCCAUUGAAAAUCAUUUAACCGUGAUCCCUCUUCGGAGCAAUGGAGACAGGUGGUGCAUGGUUGUCGUCAGCUCGUGUCGUGAGAUGUUGGGUUAAGUCCCGCAACGAGCGCAACCCUUAUCCUUAGUAGCCAGCAAGUAAUGUUGGGCACUCUGGGGAGACUGCCAGGGAUAACCUGGAGGAAGGUGGGGAUGACGUCAAAUCAUCAUGCCCCUUAUGAUUUGGGCUACACACGUGCUACAAUGGCGUAAACAAAGGGAAGCAAAGGAGCGAUCUGGAGCAAACCCCAAAAAUAACGUCUCAGUUCGGAUUGCAGGCUGCAACUCGCCUGCAUGAAGCUGGAAUCGCUAGUAAUCGCGAAUCAGAAUGUCGCGGUGAAUACGUUCCCGGGUCUUGUACUCACCGCCCGUC
rnacentral:rRNA from 1 species